UGGGGAAUAUUGCACAAUGGGCGCAAGCCUGAUGCAGCCAUGCCGCGUGUGUGAAGAAGGCCUCGGGUUGUAAAGCACUUUCAGCGAAGGAGGAAGGUGGUGGACUUAAUACGUUCAUCAAUUGACGUUACUCGCAGAAGAAGCACCGGCUAACUCCGUGCCAGCAGCCGCGGUAAUACGGAGGGUGCAAGCGUUAAUCGGAAUUACUGGGCGUAAAAGCGCACGCAAGGCGGUUUGUUAAGUCAGAUGUGAAAAUCCCCGGGCUCAACCUGGGAACUGUCAUUUGAAAACUGGCAAGCUAGAGUCUCGUAGAGGGGGGUAGAAAUUCCAGGUGUAGCGGUGAAAUGCGUAGAGAUCUGGAGGAAUACCGGUGGCGAAGGCGGCCCCCCUGGACGAAGAACUGACGCUCAGGUGGCGAAAAAGCGUGGGGAGCAAAACAGGAUUAGAUAACCCCUGGUA
rnacentral:rRNA from 1 species